rnacentral:pre_miRNA from 1 species
UUCCUACUCCCUCCGUCCCAAAAUUCUUGUCUUAGGUUUGUCUUGAAAUGGAUGUAUCUACAUACUAAAAUGUGACUAGAUACAUUCAUAUAUAGACAAAUCUAAGACAAGAAUUUUGAGAUGGAGGGAGUAUUUG